rnacentral:rRNA from 1 species
CCGCUUGUUUACCAAAAACAUGGCUUCACGUUAGUAAUUAAAUGUGAAGUCGGCCCUGCCCAUGGAGUUUUAAACGGCCGCGGUACUCUGACCGUGCAAAGGUAGCAUAAUCAUUUGCCUUAUAAUUGAAGGCUGGAAUGAAUGGUUUGACAAGAAUAUUACUGUCUCCCUUAGGUUAUUUAGAAUUUUAUUUCUGGAUGAAAAAGUCUAGAUAUUAUUAAAAGACAAGAAGACCCUAUCGAGCUUUAGAAAAAUUAAUAGGCUUAGUGUAAAUCAAUAUAAGUAAAAGAAAGGCUAUUAAAUACAUUGGUUGGGGCAACCGAGGAGUAAUUAAAGCCUCCUUUGUAUUUGUGAAUCUCGCUUGAGUUGAUCCAAAGAUUUUGAUCAAAGGAAUUAGUUACCGUAGGGAUAACAGCAUAAUCUUUUUCAAGAGCUCAUAUCGAAAAAAAGGUUUGUGACCUCGAUGUUGGACCAGAAUGUCCUAAAGAUGCAGAAGUCUUUAAGGGUUGGUCUGUUCGACCAUUAAAAUUCUACCGUGAUCUGAGUUCAGACCGG